AAAAACAAAUCUUUUAUGGCCUGCGAGCUGAAAAAACUGUGUUAAAGAAAUAUCAAGACCUGCUCAAAGUGUCCGACACCUGCCACAGUGAAGACAUGAAUAUGAGCGUCAGCCUGGCAACGAGGAUCAGGAUUGUUCAUUUCAUUCUUAAUGAGACAAAGAUAAAAUCAGGAGAUGGUCUGGAGGAUCUGAAGGCUCUGAUGAAUGAUGGCGUGUUUGAAACAUUCUACUGCUUGCAUGACGAAAAUCACCAGGAGGAGCUAAAGGAGUGGGCGGAUUGGAAGAAAGCUUUCAACAACCAACCGUUCGAAAAGAUUCGG